rnacentral:rRNA from 1 species
UCAGGCCUAACACAUGCAAGUCGAACGGACUCUUCGGAGUUAGUGGCGGACGGGUGAGUAACGCGUGAGAAUCUGCCUUCUGGUCUGGGACAACAGAGGGAAACUUCUGCUAAUCCCGGAUAAGCCUAAGGGUGAAAGAUUAAUUGCCUGGAGAUGAGCUCGCGUCUGAUUAGCUAGUUGGUAAGGUAAAAGCUUACCAAGGCGACGAUCAGUAGCUGGUCUGAGAGGAUGAGCAGCCACACUGGGACUGAGACACGGCCCAGACUCCUACGGGAGGCAGCAGUGGGG